GAUGAAGAACGCAGUGAAAUGCGAUAACUAGUGUGAAUUGCAGAAUUCCGUGAAUCAUCGAGUCUUUGAACGCACAUUGCGCCCCCUGGUAUUCCGGGGGGCAUGCCUGUCCGAGCGUCAUUGCUGCCCAUCAAGCACGGCUUGUGUGUUGGGUCGUCGUCCCCUCUCCGGGGGGGGCGGGCCCCAAAGGCAGCGGCGGCACCGCGUCCGAUCCUCGAGCGUAUGGGGCUUUGUCACCCGCUCUGUAGGCCCGGCCGGCGCUUGCCGAACGCAAAUCAAUCUUUUUCCAGGUUGACCUCGGAUCAGGUAGGGAUACCCGCUGAACUUAAGCAUAUCAAUAAGCGGAGGA
rnacentral:misc_RNA from 1 species